CAGCCGCCGCGGUAAUACGUAGGUGGCAAGCGUUGUCCGGAAUUAUUGGGCGUAAAGGGCUCGCAGGCGGUUUCUUAAGUCUGAUGUGAAAGCCCCCGGCUCAACCGGGGAGGGUCAUUGGGAACUGGGAAACUUGAGUGCAGAAGAGGAGAGUGGAAUUCCACGUGUAGCGGUGAAAUGCGUAGAGAUGUGGAGGAACAUCAGUGGCGAAGGCGACUCUCUGGUCUGUAACUGACGCUGAGGAGCGAAAGCGUGGGGAGCGAACAGGAUUAGAUACCCCUGUAGUCCCUGUCUCUUAUAC
rnacentral:rRNA from 1 species